UACGUAGGGUGCGAGCGUUAAUCGGAAUUACUGGGCGUAAAGCGUGCGCAGGCGGUUUUGUAAGCCAGAUGUGAAAUCCCCGGGCUUAACCUGGGAAUGGCAUUUGGGACUGCAAGGCUCGAGUGCGGCAGAGGAGACUGGAAUUCCUGGUGUAGCAGUGAAAUGCGUAGAUAUCAGGAAGAACACCCGUGGCGAAGGCGGCUCUCUGGGACGGUACUGACGCUGAGACGCGAAAGCGUGGGGAGCGAACAGG
rnacentral:rRNA from 1 species